AGUUUGAUAGGAUUGUGACCAUAAAUUCUGAGAAUAAUUUUCUGUUUGUGUAGAAGGAAAUCGUCUAUCUCCUCGUGCAUAAAAUCCUUUCCUUUGAUUCUGCAUACUUCUAUUCCACGGAUGAUUGGUUUGCCAUCCAGUAUUGUUCAUAAUAAGCCCGUUCUUCCUCAUCAUCUGAAAAUUCUGGAGGAUCAUCCGCAUUUGCAUCAAUACCUCUGAUUCUGUAAUAAUCAUAAAUUGCUUACUAUAUGUUUAAUUUCUUAUAAAUUAAUGUACUAAAUAUAAAUAAGAAUGGUAUGUAUAAUUAUAUACAUAUUUAAAUAUAUAAACUCACUUUAAUAAUUCAUGUAGAAAUACUAAAGAAGUAUAUUCUGUAUUUGGACAGUAAUAAACAGUCAUUCCUGCUGUAA